rnacentral:rRNA from 1 species
UGGGGAAUAUUGCACAAUGGGCGCAAGCCUGAUGCAGCCAUGCCGCGUGUGUGAAGAAGGCCUUCGGGUUGUAAAGCACUUUCAGCGAGGAGGAAGGGUAGUGUGUUAAUAGCACAUUGCAUUGACGUUACUCGCAGAAGAAGCACCGGCUAACUCCGUGCCAGCAGCCGCGGUAAUACGGAGGGUGCAAGCGUUAAUCGGAAUUACUGGGCGUAAAGCGCACGCAGGCGGUUUGUUAAGUCAGAUGUGAAAUCCCCGCGCUUAACGUGGGAACUGCAUUUGAAACUGGCAAGCUAGAGUCUUGUAGAGGGGGGUAGAAUU